rnacentral:rRNA from 1 species
CUUUUCUUGUAUUGUUUUGGAAAUAUAACCUGCCCACUGAUUUAAUUGAAGGGCCGCGGUAAUUUGACCGUGCAAAGGUAGCAUAAUCAUUAGUUUUUUGAUUGAGGACUGGAAUGAAUGGUUGGACGAGAUACAUUCUAUCUUUUUUUUAUUAUUUGAAUUUAAUUAUUAAGUGAGAAAGCUUAAAUGUUGCUAAGGGACGAGAAGACCCUAUAGAGUUUAAUAUUUAUUUAUAAAUUUUAGGUGUGUUAAAAUUGAUUUUUGAAUUAGGUAUUUUGUUGGGGUGACAAGGGGAAAUAUAAAACUCUUCUUUGAUGUUGUUUAUUGAUUUAUAUAUUUUUAGAUCCAUUGUUUGUGAUAAUAAGAUUAAAUUACCUUAGGGAUAACAGCGUAAUUCUUUUUGAGAGUUCGUAUUAAUAAAGGGGAUUGCGA